rnacentral:rRNA from 1 species
UACAGAGGUCUCAAGCGUUGUUCGGAUUCAUUGGGCGUAAAGGGUGCGUAGGUGGCGCGCUAAGUCAGGUGUGAAAUUUCGGAGCUUAACUCCGAAACUGCAUUUGAUACUGGCGUGCUUGAGGACUGGAGAGGAGACUGGAAUUCACGGUGUAGCAGUGAAAUGCGUAGAUAUCGUGAGGAAGACCAGUGGCGAAGGCGGGUCUCUGGACAGUUCCUGACGCUGAGGCGCGAAAGCCAGGGGAGCAAACGGG